CCUACGGGAGGCAGCAGUGGGGAAUAUUGGACAAUGGGCGAAAGCCUGAUCCAGCCAUGCCGCGUGAGUGAAGAAGGCCUUCGGGUUGUAAAGCACUUUCAGUGGGGAAGAAAGCCUUGGGGCUAAUACCCUCGAGGAAGGACAUCACCCACAGAAGAAGCACCGGCUAACUCCGUGCCAGCAGCCGCGGUAAUACGGAGGGUGCGAGCGUUAAUCGGAAUUACUGGGCGUAAAGCGCGCGUAGGCGGUCUGAUAAGCCGGUUGUGAAAGCCCCGGGCUCAACCUGGGAACGGCAUCCGGAACUGUCAGGCUAGAGUGCAGGAGAGGAAGGUAGAAUUCCCGGUGUAGCGGUGAAAUGCGUAGAGAUCGGGAGGAAUACCAGUGGCGAAGGCGGCCUUCUGGACUGACACUGACGCUGAGGUGCGAAAGCGUGGGUAGCAAACAGGAUUAGAUACCCUAGUAGUC
rnacentral:rRNA from 1 species